CGCGGCCACAGACACCAGGAGCCAGCGGUUCCACCUUCCGCGUGCAGAAAGGGCUGGUGCAGGCACAGGGGUGACAUCCCAGACCCGAAGCGGGGGUGUCUGGGUCUCCGCCCCGCAGCCCGCCCACCGUAGAGCUGCAGCCACUGGUUCCGCAGGCCCCCUUUCCGCAUCUCCAAGUACAGCAAGGCAAAGUGCUGGUAGUCGGAGAAGGCCACUCGGAUGUCACUCAGGGCCAUGGCUGGAGGAGCGAGAGCCGCUGACCCCAGGCCCAGGGCACCUCCCCCCCGAGCGUGGCACCCCUCACGCCCCGGCCCCAGGUGCCAAUCCAGCAGUCCAUGCAGCCUCCAGGGCCCCCACGCCACAGCCCUGCCUGCUGCCCCACCUCACCUGGGUUGCUGAACUGCCCCGGUACAGCACCCUCGGUGAAGGUCGUGUCCAUUUUCUGGCACCCGCCAUGGGGCCUGGGGAGAAAGAGCCCCAAUCCCCUGAGUGGCCACCCCUGCCCAGCGCCCAGGCCUAGAGCCUACCUUGCUGUCUCUGAGCCCAGGGUCCCCUGUUCACCCUCACAAUCCUUAGAGGACAUGGGACUUUAGGAUGACCUUAGAGGUGGGGACACUCCUGCUGGGGGUGGGGUGGGUAUUAAGUACCUGUUCACAGGCACACAGCCUAGAAUGCAGGGCCUCCAGGUCCCCCUUCUUUUCUCAACACCAGGCCUCAGGCAGUGCUUCCUCCAGGGCCUGGGUCCCUCUGGACUCCGUGUGGCUGCCAUCUGGGGCUCUGCCGCACAGAGCCGUCGAGGACCCGUGGUCUGACCUCAAUGUGCUGGGGACACCAUGGUCCCUCUGGACCUUCAUGUGGCCUCAUGCUGGCCAUCCUCUGAGGCUGAGUCUGAUGGGCUCGUGUGGUCACUUACGUGGGGUAUCCAAACUUGAGGGCCAGGUCACCAUUCCCCAAGGGGGUCACUAAGACCACAGCCAUCUUCAUGGUGUCCUUGGAGUCCAGGAAGUCCUGGUCAUCUGACACCACCCCGACCAUGUACCAGGUGCCCUGGAACUGCAGGGCAAGUGCAGGGAAGGCUGGGAGGCCGCCCCUGUGCCCUGGGCCUGAGCCCACCACAUUCUGCCCCGACACAGCUGCUUCCUGGCCACGGCAGGGGCUGCUGUACACAUCUCGACCCCGAUGCAGAACUGAGGGAGGGGGGCCUCAGUACAUGAGCAACUGGCCCCCACCAGCCCAGCACCGGCCUGUCUGCAGCUGGCACCCGACAGUGAGGCACAGGCAACCAACUUGUCCCUAUUUUGGGCCCUGGGGAUUGUUGGGGGAUGCAACUGAAAAGGUAGGAUGGAGGCUGCAGUCUUCCCCAGCCAACCCCUACUCCAGUCAGACGGAGCGGGUGAGGUGGGGGUUUCCCCUGCCCCUAGCCCUGCUGAGCCUGGAUCAAAGAGGGUGUGGACAGGGACCCGGGGUGCAGCACCAAAGCCGGGAGGACUCAUUGGAGAUGAGGAGGAAACAGGGCUGGGCACACCUGGCUGGCAUCAAAGUUGGCCUGGAUGGGGACCUGGGCCUGGCCUGGGGAUGCCCAGAGCAGGGCAAGGAGGGAACUGAUCAGCAGAGCCCGAAGCAUCAUGCAGCAAGAUGGCAUCUCCUCCGGACACGGGAGCAGGGCAGAGCUGAGGUGGCUCCUCUGUAGGCUUUACGCCCCUGAGGUGCCCUGGGGCGGCUGGCCUGGGACUGCACCCACUGUGACAGGCUUCUGAUCAAGUUGCACCCUGCAGCGCUCUGGCCUGGCUCCCUCCACCCAACCCCAGCCAUCCGUUGCCUUUCCUCCGGGGUGGGGCCGGAUGCCUGGCAGCUGAGGGUAGUUCUGACGGGCCUCUGGGCUAGGGGGCCUGCAGCUCACCCAUCCUGCCUCUUCGGCCUUCUGCAGCCCCUCUGGGAUGUUGGAAUCCCCCCUACCUUGAGCUCAGGCACAGCCCUAAGCCCCCUUCUCCGGGAAGGCCACCCAGAAGCUCACCCUCACCUCCGAGCCUCAAAAUGCUUGGUGCCUCUGCAGGGUCUGCCUCGGGGGGGCCUGGUGGGCAGGUCACAGUGAGUCCUGCACAUUGUGUACCUGAGAAUGGCUGCCUGGGUGGGAAUCUGGAAGGGAGCAGGGUUGGGCAGGGCACUGGCCGGGCAUGGUGUGGCCGUGGUGCCAGGGCUCUGGUGAGUGGACAAGGCUGUGAUCUGGAGGCCCAGGUCAGAGGGCAGGGGGCGCACAGGGAGCCAGAAGGGAUAUGGGGUAGCCUGUCCCCAGCCCACUCUGUCAGUCUGUCCUGAUGCGGGGUGGAGACACUCUGGCAUGUUUCAAACAAAUGUUUCUUUUUGUCCCCUGAAACCCUUAUCUCUGCCCAAUCUCAGUGCGUUAAUCCCACACCUCAAGAUACCCAACAGGUCCAAAGCUCCUCUGGGGCCUCGAGCCUCAGGCCUUUACUGCUGAGGGGGUGACAGGGUGGCGUUGGGGGUGCAGGGCACCUGCCUAAGGGAUUAGCUGAGUCACUGACCCCCAGCUCAGCACCGGCCUGGUGGCAGUGGCAGCUGAGGAGCCAGACACCCUUGCUGCCAGGUGGUCCCUGUGGUAUAGCCCCUUGGCCUUGUCUGCCUGGGGCCUCGCACCUGCACCCCCCAACCAUGAGCCUUCAGGAGUCAGCCCUGUUCCAGCCACUGGGACAGGUUUUCCUUCUGAGCCUCACACCUGUGCACCCAUCAAUGUGGGCAGCCCCAGUGUCUCCCGCCCGGCCCUGGACUGCAGCCAUCGGGAAGGAUGGGUCUGCAGCACCAGGCUGUCCUGGGGCCCUGAUCCAUCCCAUCGCAGAGUGGGUUGGGUGGAUGUGUGGGAGUGGCUCACCUAUUGUUCCGUCAUGCACUUAUCUGCCAAGAAAGAAGCCAGGGGCUGUCGUCAGAACCCCAGACUUAGGCCAAUUUUCCCACUGGGCUUCCUGUUCCUCCCGUAACGCAGAGCUCGUCUUGACUGAGCCCCCAAACUGCACAGAUCCCCCAUCACCUCCCACCUCUCCCUGGGCACUGGAAACAAAGAGAGGGUCUUUCUCCACCUCUGCCAAGAGCAGGCUGUCCACCCCUAGGAGGCUGUGCCUGAGCCCAGUAUGGUUGGUUCCCCUGUAUCCCCCAUGGGCACCCUCUACCCUAUGCCCCCCACCAGGCUGAAGCCCCACAUCCUGGGAGCUGCUGGGGCCUGGCACAGAGUGGGCGCCUGGUCUCCAUGUCCCCCAUGGAGGGGGCUCCUCAUGAAGGGGCUGCGGGAGGGAGGUUCUGACUUGAACACUCACCCCCUCUGUCCCUGGCCCAGGCCUCGAGCAGGGCGGGGCCACCUCCUCCCCUCUGCCUCCCCCAGUCAGGAGACUGCCUGCCUGCCUCUAAUCUGACCUUGAUCCUCUCCCCAUCAGAUUAGGACCCCUCACCGGUUUGGGGCAGGAAGACAAUGGUAUCCUCUGUGAAGCCCUGGGCCUUGCAGAAGGCGGUGAAUUUCUCCUUUAACUCAGCCCUGGGGGUCUGGGUUCGGCCUGGGACAGGGUGGAGACGGAGCUGGCCUCAGCGGGGGGGAUGCUGUGUGCCCUGCCCUGGGUCUUGGGGAGCCCCCUCUGGUCAGGCCUGCGUGUGGGCGGCGUCCACGGGGCACGUACUGUAGAGGGUGGCCAUGCGGAAGUCCUCGCCAGGGCCCUUGCUGCCCUGGCUGUACAGCAGCGCGUACUGGUCGUAGUCGGUCUCCACCACUGACACGGAGUAGGUGCUGCCCCAGUCUGGGAACCCAAGAGACAACCCUGUCGGGGACUCAGCCCCCCAAACCUCACCUCUGCUUCAGGGAAGGGGUGCACCUGUGGGCUUUGGGGGCACUCAGCCCCUCGGCUGGCCCGGGAUGCUCCCCCACCCGGCUGCUCUCCAGCCAGUGCCCUGCUCUCGCCUGCACAGCCUGUGAACCCUGUCCCCAAACCAGAAUCUGGGGGAGCCAGGCUCAGAAAACCAGGAUUCCUGGUGCAGCCGCAGAAGUCGCUGCCAGAACCGGAAGUGAAGAGGUUUCCCCGUGGGAGCCAUUCCCCAGGUGGGAGUGAGGAAACCCCUGGGUCCUGGGGAGGAGAAUUGGGAGGAGGCAUAUGGAGGGGCCUUGGGGGGCUGCUUAUGUGGGGAAAACUCCAGAGGGCAGGGAAGGGGCCUGACAAGACAAUGGUGGGCUCCAGAGAGGAUCCAACCCCCUGGAGGAAGGGUCUCUCUGUCCCUAACACUUGUGCAUGGGUAGUCACGCCCAGGCCUGGCCUUUGCCUCUGACGCUGGUGGGGCAGCCAUCACCUCCCACCCCAUGGAUCUCCGCGGCAGGGGGCUGGCCCAGAGUCGUCCCGGCAAGUGUCGCCCCCAGGCUGGGCCCAGGGGGCCGGUGGAGGCCCCACUCACGGGGACUCCGGUAGCUGUAGGAGCCGAGGGACCCCGCGGGCUGCAGCAGCAUGGUUCGGGUCUCACACUGGUUUUUCCUGUAGGUGGGUGACCUCAGGGUCAGGGGUUAGGCCCGAGGGUGUCCCUGGACCUCUCCGUCCCAGAAACCCACCUGCCCGCUGUCCCACCUGAGGAAGGUGGAGGUCAGGUUGAGGCCACCAUCCGUGGCAGGGGCCACCAGGGUCCCGAGGGCCAGGUUUGCUGGGCAUGGCUUCCCCCAUGGCCAGCUGUUGGGGCUCUGAUAGUGACCCCUGGGUGCCCAUUUCAGCCUGGGGCACCUUUGGGCUUGAGCACAGGCCCUAUCCCUUGCCAGAGGCCCCAACUUCCCCCAGCAAUCCCCCCACCCCAAGUCUGCCCCCCGCCGAGUCUGGGCCUCCCCACCCCGAGUCUGGUCCAGACUCGGGAGCACCCCGUGGGGCUGUCCUGUUACCCCAGCGCUGCACCCAGCUCCUUGGGCCCCUCCAGCUCGUUGGCCCUGGCUGGGGCCCUGUCACAGGCCGUCACAGGCAGGCACAUGUGGUGGGCCCUCUCUGGAUUCUGUUGGGACUGAGCUUCCCUGGCAGGCGUGGUGGGUGAGCGCUGCCGCUGGUCUGAAGGUGAGCCCGGGUGGGGACCAGUCGUUACCGAGACCAUAUGGUCGUUGGCGCCUGGAGAGCUGGAAGAGCUAACAGGAUCAUGCUUCGGUUCAGGACGGACUCCUCAGUCCCACAUCCAGGAAGGGCUGGGCAGUUGCCAGCUCCUGGCACGCCAGAUUUCUCCCCUCCUCCCCCGGCUAGGACUGUGCAAGGUGGACAGGGGCAGGAGGGACCUUCGCAGAGCCUCUUGCAGCUUGGGCAGGGACAAGGACCACCCUGCACACUCUCUGU
rnacentral:lncRNA from 1 species